CUUUAAUUGGAAAACAGCCUAAUAGAAUAAUAACAAAAUCAAUCCUGGUGUUUAUUGCCAUUUUGGUGUAGAAAACCAAAUAUGUAGGGCUGCGGGUGAAGUAAAUCUUUUAUCUGAAAUUAUUGUUAAUAUAAAUGUCGAUGGGCUGCCAUUAUUUAAGAGUUCUAAAGCUCAAUUGUGGCCCAUUUUAAAGAAGAUUAUGAACGCAAGCAAUAUUUCUACAUUUUGUGUCGGUGUGUACUUUGGGUACAAAAAGCCCGAUGAUAUUAGUGAAUUCCUAUUGAAUUUAGUAGAUGAACUCAAACAUUUAAUAUCAAACGGCACUACUAUAAGCAACAAAUUAAUUCCGUUUAAAGUAGGAGCGCUGAUAUGCGAUGCGCUAGCUAAAUCUUUUGUGUGUGGCGUUCCUUCCCAUACUUCAAGCCAUGGAUGCACCAAAUGUUGUCAAAUUGGGAAAAAGAUCAAUAAUACCCUAACUUAUUCUACUGAAAGUGGGGACUUAUUGUCAAAUGAAGAUUUUCGCUCAAGGAAAUACUUGAAGCACCAUCAAAAGCUUUUCUACAAUAUCAAAACUCCUUUGGAGAGCAUUGACUUUAAUAUAAUAACGCAAGUACCACUUGACCCAAUGCAUCUUUUAGAUCUCGGAGUUGUUAGAAAAUUUUUGUCGAGAAUGUUUUAUGAUAAAUGCAAUUACAGAUUAAGUAAAGAAAACAAGAAAGGAAUAUCGGAACACUUGGUGUGCCAAAGGAAUUUGUUCGAAGGCCUCGAAGUUUUGAUGAGCUAGCGAAUUGGAAAGCAAUAGAGUUCAGACAGUUCGGCUUAUACACGGGCAUAGUUGUUCUUAAAAAUAAGGUUCAUGAUGAUGUUUAUGAUGAAUUCCUUUUAUUAUUCUGUGCUUAUCGUUUGCUGUCGUGUCCUAAAAAUUGCAUAAAAAAUAUUCCUACUGCUCAAAAUAUGUUGCAGCUGUUUGUUAAGAAUUUUCCCAUAAUUUUUGGAGAAAAUAGCUUAUCGCAUAAUAUUCAUGGACUUUUGCAUUUAACAGAUUCAGUAAAUGUGCUUGGAGAUCUAGCAAAUUUUUCAGCAUAUCCUUUUGAGAAUUAUCUUCAAACAUUGAAGAAAUAUGUGAAGAAGCCCUCGCAAGUAUUGCAACAAAUCUUUAAAAAAAUCGAUAAUGAAAAAAUUAUGGUCGGAAAAAUAGGGUCUGAAGUAAAAUACAAGAAGAACAGAAUCAUUGGCAUUUCACAUCAGGAUUAUUUUAUAAGUUCCCUUAGUCCUGACAACUUCUGUUCUAUUUCAUCAAAUACAUCAAUCAAAGUGAUUGGUUUCAAAAAAAUUGACAGCAAAAUUUUUAUAACUGGAAACAAAUUUACCAAACUUGAAAGCCUUUUUAAAGAACCCACUGAUUCUAUCACGUCUCUGGGCAUAUGUAUUGUAUAUCCAGAAAGCUUAGGUCCAGAAGAGAACUUUACUUUAGAUCAAAUCACACACAAAUUUGUUGGUUUGCCACUUAAAAAUCAAUUACUUUUGAUACCACUGCUACAUUGCUCUAUUGAAGAAACGAAAAUGUAUAAAAGAAAAAUAACUUUGAAAAACUCCGAAAAUACGAAACCGAAAAUAAAAAAGGUAAAUGUUACUCCAGAGGGUAAUUGCUGUAAUUGUGCAGAGCUACGUGAUUUUUCCAGGCAGAAAUAAAUAAUACAAAAGAGCAACAAUUACAGCAUAAUAAAGCUAUCAUGGAGGUGCUAGCGGAUCAAACUGUGCUGAUCAAAUCUUUGGUUCGAAAAGAAAGUUCUGAAAUUUCUAUCUGCACAUCAUUUCCAGUACAUAAUGAGGACGCUUUAGCAACUGUUGAUAAACAAAUAAACGAAGCAAACAGAUCAAUUUAUGUCAAAGGAAUGAAAUUCCUUAUGAGAGGACAAAAAGAAGCUUUUGUCGAUACUUAGUCAGGAUUGCAUACUUAAAUACAACGUCGACGGCACACAUGGACAGAAAAGUCUAAAAUACUAUAACAAUUUUUACUCUGUCCUAAAAGACGCCUUUUAUGAGAAUGAAAAUGAUCCUGAGGACACGAUUCGCAAACCUAUUCAAUCUGUAAAAAGAGACUAUUUUCAUUCCGAAUGCAUGAGGAAAAAACAAUCAGCAGUUUAAGCAGCUUUACUUAUGAACAUCAAUUCUUAUAUUCACUUAAAUAUUAACACCUCGUACAUAAAGUGAGUAACAGUAAAAAUCGAACAAUGAUUAUUUUGCAGUGUUUUCCAUACUACUUUGAAUUAUUCAGUCUAAAAAAUUUUAAU